UACGUAGGGGGCAAGCGUUGUCCGGAUUUAUUGGGCGUAAAGAGCGUGUAGGCGGCCAAGCAGGUCAGCUGUGAAAACUCGAGGCUCAACCUCGAGACGUCGGUUGAAACCGCUUGGCUAGAGUCCGGAAGAGGAGAGUGGAAUUCCCGGUGUAGCGGUGAAAUGCGCAGAUAUCGGGAAGAACACCCGUGGCGAAGGCGGCUCUCUGGGACGGUACUGACGCUGAGGUGCGAAAGCGUGGGGAGCAAACAGG
rnacentral:rRNA from 1 species